GAUGAACGCUGGCGGCGUGCCUAAUACAUGCAAGUCGAGCGAACAGACGAGGAGCUUGCUCCUUUGACGUUAGCGGCGGACGGGUGAGUAACACGUAGGUAACCUACCUAUAAGACUGGGAUAACUUCGGGAAACCGGAGCUAAUACCGGAUAAUAUUUCGAACCGCAUGGUUCGAUAGUGAAAGAUGGCCUUGCUGUCACUUAUAGAUGGACCUGCGCUGUAUUAGCUAGUUGGUAAGGUAACGGCUUACCAAGGCAACGAUACGUAGCCGACCUGAGAGGGGGAUCGGCAACACUGGAACUGAGACACGGUCCAGACUCCUACGGGAGGCAGCAGUAGGGAAUCUUCCGCAAUGGGCGAAAGCCUGACGGAGAAACGCCGCGGGAGUGAUGAAGGUCUUCGGAUCGUAAAACUCUGUUAUUAGGGAAGAACAAACGUGUAAGUAACGGGGCAAGUCUUGACGGUACCUAAUCAGAAAGCAACGGCUAACUACGU
rnacentral:rRNA from 1 species